rnacentral:rRNA from 1 species
AGAGUUUGAUCCCAGCUCAGGGUGAACGCUAGCGGUGCGCCUAACACAUGUAAGUCGUGCGAUCGAGCCGAACUGAGUCUCCUUCGGGAGGCGAUGAUUGGUGACGGAGCGGCGGACGGGUGAGUAACGCGUGGCUAACCUACCCUCUUGACGGGGACAACCACUCGAAAGGGAGGCUAAUACCCGAUAUUGAUUGGAACCGAUGGGUUCCUCUCCAAAGGCGGUCCUGCCGCCGCGAGGGGAUGGGGCUGCGUCCUAUUAGCUAGUUGGUGAGGUAACGGCUCACCAAGGCUUCGAUGGGUAGCUGGUCUGAGAGGACGGCCAGCCACAUUGGGACUGAGAUACGGCCCAGACUCCUACGGGAGGCAGCAGUGGGGAAUCUUGGCCAAUGGACGAAAGUCUGAGCCAGCGACACCGCGUGGGGGAUUACGGCCUUCGGGUUGUAAACCCCUUUUUCUGGGGAAAGAAUAAGGACGGGAGGAAAUGCCCGCCCGAUGACGGUACUCCAGGAAUAAGCAUCGGCUAACUCUGUGCCAGCAGCCGCGGUAAGACAGAGGAUGCGAGCGUUAUCCGGAAUUACUGGGCGUAAAGGGCGUCUAGGCGGUUCGGUAAGUCGUUUGUGAAAUCCCUUGGCUCAACCGAGGAGAGUCUUGCGAUACUGCCGGGCUUGGGUGUAGGAGAGGAGGGUGGAACUCACAGAGUAGCGGUGGAAUGCGUAGAUACUGUGAGGUACCCCGAUGGCGAAGGCAACCCUCUGGCCUACUACCGACGCUGAAGCGCGAAAGCGUGGGGAGCAAAGGGGAUUAGAUACCCCCGUAGUCCACGCCCUAAACAAUGUUCACUUGGUGUCGGCCGCUUAUACUGGUCGGUGCCGAAGCUAACGCGUUAAGUGAACCGCCUGAGGAGUACGGCCGCAAGGCUAAAACUCAAGAGAAUUGACGGGUCCCUGCACAAGCGGUGGAGCACGUGGUUUAAUUCGAUAAACGAAGAACCUCACCCAGGCUUGACAUACUAGUGGUAGAAACCUGAAAGGGGGCCGACCCUGCCUUCGGGUAGGGAGCUAGUACAGGUGAUGCAUGGCUGUCGUCAGCUCGUGUCGUGGGAUGUUGGGUUCAGUCCCGAAACGAGCGCAACCCUUGUCGUUAGUUGCCAGCGGGUAAUGCCGGGGACUCUAACGAGACUGCUGGUGAAUAGCCGGAGGAAGGCGGGGAUGACGUCAAGUCAUCAUGUCCCUUAUGCCUGGGGCGACACACAUGCUACAAUGGGGGGUACAAAGGGUCGCAAUCCCGUAAGGGGGAGCCAAUCCAUAAAAACCCCUCUCAGUUCGGAUUGAGGUCUGCAACUCGACCUCAUGAAGCCGGAAUCGCUAGUAAUCGCGGGUCAGCCAUACCGCGGUGAAUAUGUACUCAGGGGUUGUACACACCGCCCGUCACACCAACCGAGUGGGGGGUACCUGAAGUCGCUCUUCUAAGGGCGCCUAGGGUAACUUCCGCAAGAGGGGUGAAGUCGUAACAAGGUA